AGAGUUUGAUCCUGGCUCAGGAUGAACGCUGGCGGUAUGCUUAACACAUGCAAGUCGAACGGACUCUUCGGAGUUAGUGGCGGACGGGUGAGUAACGCGUGAGAAUCUGCCUCUAGGUCGGGGACAACAGUUGGAAACGACUGCUAAUCCCGGAUGAGCCUGCGGGUAAAAGAUUAAUUGCCUAGAGAGGAGCUCGCGUCUGAUUAGCUAGUUGGUGAGGUAAAAGCUCACCAAGGCGACGAUCAGUAGCUGUUCUGAGAGGAAGAACAGCCACACUGGGACUGAGACACGGCCCAGACUCCUACGGGAGGCAGCAGUGGGGAAUUUUCCGCAAUGGGCGAAAGCCUGACGGAGCAAUACCGCGUGAGGGAAGAAGGCCUUUGGGUCGUAAACCUCUUUUCUCAGGGAAGAAGUUCUGACGGUACCUGAGGAAAAAGCCUCGGCUAACUCCGUGCCAGCAGCCGCGGUAAUACGGAGGAGGCAAGCGUUAUCCGGAAUUAUUGGGCGUAAAGCGUCCGUAGGUGGCCUUUCAAGUCUGCGGUUAAAAACUAGAGCUCAACUCUGGGUCAGCCGUGGAAACUGAGAAGCUAGAGUACAGUAGGGGUAGAGGGAAUUCCCAGUGUAGCGGUGAAAUGCGUAGAGAUUGGGAAGAACACCGGUGGCGAAAGCGCUCUACUGGGCUUGUACUGACACUGAGGGACGAAAGCUAGGGGAGCAAAAGGGAUUAGAUACCCCUGUAGUCCUAGCCGUAAACGAUGGAAACUAGGCGUAGCCUGUAUCAACUCAGGCUGUGCCGAAGCUAACGCGUUAAGUUUCCCGCCUGGGGAGUACGCACGCAAGUGUGAAACUCAAAGGAAUUGACGGGGGCCCGCACAAGCGGUGGAGUAUGUGGUUUAAUUCGAUGCAACGCGAAGAACCUUACCAGGGCUUGACAUCCCGCGAAUCCUGCUGAAAGGUAGGAGUGCCUAAGGGAACGCGGAGACAGGUGGUGCAUGGCUGUCGUCAGCUCGUGUCGUGAGAUGUUGGGUUAAGUCCCGCAACGAGCGCAACCCUCGUCCUUAGUUGCCAUCAUUAAGUUGGGAACUCUAGGGAGACUGCCGGGGACAACUCGGAGGAAGGUGGGGAUGACGUCAAGUCAGCAUGCCCCUUACGUCCUGGGCUACACACGUACUACAAUGGUUGAGACAAAGGGCAGCGAACUCGCGAGAGCCAGCGAAUCCCAGCAAACUCAGCCCCAGUUCAGAUUGCAGGCUGCAACUCGCCUGCAUGAAGUAGGAAUCGCUAGUAAUCGCCGGUCAGCAUACGGCGGUGAAUCCGUUCCCGGGCCUUGUACACACCGCCCGUCACACCAUGGAAGCUGGCAACAUCCGAAGUCGUUACUCCAACCGUUAGCGGAGGAGGGCGCCGAAGGUGGGGCUAGUGACUGGGGUGAAGUCGUAACAAGGUAGCCGUACCGGAAGGUGUGGCUG
rnacentral:rRNA from 1 species